GUGCGUGCGUGCGUGCGUGCGUGUGUGCGUGCGUGUGUGCGUGCGUGUGUGCGUGCGUGUGUAUGAUAUAGUCAGUGGAGCAGCAACUCCCGUGUUACGAUGACGAGAUGCCGAUGAUGGCUAUGUAGGAAUCGACGUCGAGUCACAUUGAUAUAGUGUACAUAUUGAACUUGUAUAACGCUGUAGUGUGUUGGUGAUACUCCUGUAUAAAUAUACCGUUGUUAUAUAUAUAUAUAUGCCGAUGACGAGGUAAUGCCCAUGACGUGGCACUGCCAUUUUUUGCACACUUGAGAUCGUGAAGAGGUUACAGGUGACAGUUCACCAAUUCUUGGGGCCAACAUUUCGUACCUGUGCCCCCCAUGCACGCGCAUGCGGGACACCCUUCCCAUCAUAGUCUGUUUUGUGUGGUUCGUCUGUUCAUCUUGCGUUUAAUUCUCGUUUUUAUACACCUUCGAAGCUACGCUGGGUGUAGCAAAGAGUUAAGAGACGCAAUAUGUAAUUCGUCAGAUCGCGUUUGCGUGCAUUGUCGGGUGCAAAAGGGUAAAAUCCUUGUUACUUUUGAGCCAAGGCGUUCGCGUGCACAGUCAGGUGUAAAAAACGUAAAAAAUCUUGUUACGUUUGAGACAAGGGCUUCGUGUGCACCGUCACGAGUAAAAGAGUUCAAUCUUGUUACUUUUUUAAACAAGGUGUUCGCGUGCACCGUCAGGAGUAAAAGAGUACAAAUCUUGUUACUUUUGAGGCACGACAAGGGCGAAUAAAUGUCGUGGUUUGAAGUGUACUCUUUCUGACAGAUGCUGGUGACUGUUCUGUCCUCGCCUAGCUUGUAUCGGAAGGACAAAUGAAUUUCAUAGCAGAUGUCCAUCAGCAGACGUGUCACACCGAACAAUUAUUUCCUUACUAUGUGUCAAACCUGUUGUACGGACCGCGCGGUGUGUUCGGUCUUAGUUGUUAACCAUACCAAACGGGGCAAUUUUUAUCGUCGUUUGACACUGUACCUCAUUUUUGUGUGUAAUAUACUGCUAUACGCGCUGCCGACAAAACGAAAUACAGUUACGGCAAUCAAUUCUAACAUAUAUACUUAUAUAUAUAUAUAUAUGCCUGUGUGUAUAUACGUACGUGUAUGUAUGUAUGUAUAUAUAUAAUAUGCUAGUGGACCAACGGUAUGCUGCCUUAACAGUCCGUAGUUGUCUCAAGCCCCGUGGCAGAACAAGCGUGAACGCUGUUGCCACGUUCAUGUGCAGUGGCGGUGAACAGCCGUCACACGUAUAUGAUGGCUUCCCAACCCUCACCUUCCCUCCCCGUGUAUAGAUACGCAGUCAGUCGCACAGUCGUGUAUAGGCACGUCACGAUCGACUCUACUAUACUCACGUACUGUCGUGGUAGCGUACGGGCGGCGGUGCGUGCGUACACGAACGAUUUUUCUAACAGGUUUGUGUGUGUAUAGAGUUUAUAUCCGAUUACGGAUGAUAUUUCGAUGCUAGGCGCAGAACCCUCUGGCAGGGAGCCAUCGUGACGUGGCGAGGCCAAUCUAUAAAUGUAUGCCCGGCCUUUUUUACACCACUGUAUCAUCGCCACGUCGGUCAUCACGUAUGGCAACGGUAAUGCUGCUAAUGAAUGCAUACAUAUAUAUAUAUAUAUUUAUUUAUUUAUUUAUUUAUUUAUAUACAUAUAUAUAUGAUAUGUAAUGCGCCUGCAUUUGACGCGUUCUCUUGUUGAGGAGUGCCCCUCUACGAUUCUAACUUUUUAAACAUGCUAACUGAAGGUGUCUAAUUUCGGAUCGUUUCAAUCGCACCCGUCCUCCCCCUCCUCCCCCCUCUCACCCAUCCCUUCUCUUCCACCUUAUCAAAGUAAGAUCUUUUAAUAGCCGUCGCGGAGAUAGCUACGGUGGCCGAGAUACGCCGCUGCUGCACAUCUACGGAGGCUGAGAUGCUGAGACAGUACUCGCGUACUACACACACACACACACACACGCACACACUGACUGUGUGCGCGUAUUUUUCCACGUUUCUACGAGGACUGUUGUAUAUGUAAUGUACAUUUAUGACUCAUCGGACGGAUACAAUAAAAGGUGAAGUCAUCAUCGUAA